AGAGAGGAGCUGGUCAGUGGGGUGACCCUAAGGACCACAUCUUCUCCUGCUUCAUUUCACCGGCGAAGGCUUCUGAAUUGUCAAAGCUAGAAGAACAGGAGGGAAGGCAGCAAAGGGUCAUUGCCACGGGCUUUCCCAACCCAAAGACUGAUGUCAGGGACUGCCCCCCGACUGAGACUCUAUGUCCUACACUUGCCCUGCACACACACAGGGCUGCCCCUCGCAGACACUUGUCCCGCGGGACUGAAGCUGCCGCUCGGGGGCUGGAACCCAAGAAGAAAACCAGAAACCAGGGAGCUAAUUCUUCAGCCUCCUCCGCACUGCUCCUGGCCCACAAACUCCCCCCAGAUCCACAAGCUCCUGCUUCCUGUCCCCUCCCCACCAACAUCCUUCUGCCUCUUGACUUUGCGUGUGCUGUUCCCUCUGCCCGCAAUGCCCCCCCACUAUGAUCAAUGUGGAAAACUCCUUUAGGAAUCCAUAGGGCUCUGCUCAAAUGCCAGGUCCUGCACGAAGCCUCUGGUCCCAAGGAACGUCUCCUUCCCUUCUGCUCCCCCGAGACUUCCCUUAGAUCCCAAAUGUUACACUUACCAGCAUCCUUCUGGAGUUCUGGGGUCCUGAGGAACAAAGACCAUCCCCGUGUCACAACUGCAUGCCUGGCGCCCAGCCCAGAGCCUGGUAUGGAUUCAGGGCCUCAGUUUCCUCAUCUGGAACAUGGGAGUGAUCACGGCACCUACCUCAUCAUGCUGUUGUGAAGUUCAGUCGCUGUAUUCGGAGCCACGCCUGGUACAAGGGCAUAUCCAGCCCCACCCCCUUUCUGCCCAGAAGUCAGUGCCCGCCCCGUCGCAGGUCCCAGAGCCCCGAUGGGGACCUGGGGCUUGGAAGAUAAAGGGACCGGGACAUCGUCCACCUGUGUAGAAGACUGGUCAUUUGGAGACAGUUCGCCCAGCCUGGCACCAGACAGGGAGCCCCAGGAGCCCUCCUGCCACCUUGCCCUCUGCAGAGACAGCCCUCCAGCCCCUCGGGCCUGGGCCCUGAGCUCUCAACAGGGCCCAUGACUCGUCCUCCUGGCCUUCAAGCCUCCAAGGAGGCACCUCCUUUCUGCAGCUGCAGCAGGUCAAGAGCCUCAUCCGAGGAGGAAGUGAAAGCCCUGCGUGGCUCCCUCAGAACCACCCAUUCUCCUGUGGCUCAGCCCCAUGGCGAUCCCCGCCAUGAUUCAGCCACCCCUGGGCGGAAUCAUCAUCUCCUCCCUGUGCUGCUCCAGCCUGGAGUGGUAGUAGCUCAUGCCCUAGCUAGACUGCCUUCCCAUUUGCUGUAGGACUUUUCAGCUCUUUCCUCGCCUGUGGAAUCAAUCCCCCGUAUUAAAUUU